CCAACAUGGACCACCGCUGGGGCGCCCUGGUGGCUUUGUCCGCAUGGCACCCGCAGAGGAGUCCAGCGCGCAGGUGCGGUGGUGAAGAGUCCUGUCCCAGGACACUGGGGAGGACCUUGUCCCCAGCCUCAGGACUGUUGCGGGCAUGUCCUGUAUGUUUCUCACCUUCUCAGUACCUGGUUGCUGAGGAGAAAAACCCUGUUUACAGGGUACAAUU
rnacentral:snoRNA from 1 species